rnacentral:rRNA from 1 species
CGAUACAUAGGGGGACUGAGAGGUUAACCCCCCACACUGGUACUGAGACACGGACCAGACUCCUACGGGAGGCAGCAGUGAGGAAUAUUGGUCAAUGGACGCAAGUCUGAACCAGCCAUGCCGCGUGCAGGAUGACGGCUCUAUGAGUUGUAAACUGCUUUUGUACGAGGGUAAACGCAGAUACGUGUAUCUGUCUGAAAGUAUCGUACGAAUAAGGAUCGGCUAACUCCGUGCCAGCAGCCGCGGUAAUACGGAGGAUUCAAGCGUUAUCCGGAUUUAUUGGGUUUAAAGGGUGCGUAGGCGGUUUGAUAAGUUAGAGGUGAAAUUUCGGGGCUCAACCCUGAACGUGCCUCUAAUACUGUUGAGCUAGAGAGUAGUUGCGGUAGGCGGAAUGUAUGGUGUAGCGGUGAAAUGCUUAGAGAUCAUACAGAACACCGAUUGCGAAGGCAGCUUACCAAACUAUAUCUGACGUUGAGGCACGAAAGCGUGGGGAGCAAACAGGAUUAGAUACCCUGGUAGUCCACGCAGUAAACGAUGAUAACUCGUUGUCGGCGAUACACAGUCGGUGACUAAGCGAAAGCGAUAAGUUAUCCACCUGGGGAGUACGUUCGCAAGAAUGAAACUCAAAGGAAUUGACGGGGGCCCGCACAAGCGGAGGAACAUGUGGUUUAAUUCGAUGAUACGCGAGGAACCUUACCCGGGCUUGAAAGUUAGCGACGAUUCUUGAAAGAGGAUUUCCCUUCGGGGCGCGAAACUAGGUGCUGCAUGGUUGUCGUCAGCUCGUGCCGUGAGGUGUCGGGUUAAGUCCCAUAACGAGCGCAACCCCUACCGUUAGUUGCCAUCAGGUGAAGCUGGGCACUCUGGCGGGACUGCCGGUGUAAGCCGAGAGGAAGGUGGGGAUGACGUCAAAUCAGCACGGCCCUUACGUCCGGGGCUACACACGUGUUACAAUGGGCGGUACAGAAGGCAGCUACCUGGCGACAGGAUGCCAAUCCCUAAAGCCGCUCUCAGUUCGGACUGGAGUCUGCAACCCGACUCCACGAAGCUGGAUUCGCU